UCCAGACUCCUACGGGAGGCAGCAGUGAGGAAUAUUGGUCAAUGGGCGGGAGCCUGAACCAGCCAAGCCGCGUGAAGGAAGAAGGCGCCAGGCGUCGUAAACUUCUUUUGUCGGGGAACAAAGGGCGCCACGCGUGGCGUUGUGAGUGUACCCGAAGAAAAAGCAUCGGCUAACUCCGUGCCAGCAGCCGCGGUAAUACGGAGGAUGCGAGCGUUAUCCGGAUUUAUUGGGUCUAAAGGGUGCGUAGGCGGUCCGGAAAGUCAGCGGUAAAAGCCCGGGGCUCACCCCCGGCGAGCCGUCGGAACUGCCGGGCUAGAGUGGGCGAGAAGUGCGCGGAAUGCGUGGUGUAGCGGUGAAAUGCAUAGAUAUCACGCAGAACUCCGAUUGCGAAGGCAGCGCACCGGCGCCCUACUGACGCUCAGGCACGAAAGCGUGGGUAUCGAACAGGAUUAGAUACCCGUGUAGC
rnacentral:rRNA from 1 species